GGUGGCCACCAUGGCCCUUGUGGUGGCCUUGUGGUCCUCAGGUCCUCCAGGUGGCCCUUGGGUGUCCCGUGGUGGCCUCGUGGCCCUUGGGUGUCCCCUGGUGGCCUCGUGGCCCUUGGGUGUCCUGUGGUGGCCUCGUGGCCCUUGGGUGUCCCUUGGUGGCCUCGUGGCCCCGGGGUGU